rnacentral:rRNA from 1 species
UACGAAGGGGGCUAGCGUUGCUCGGAAUCACUGGGCGUAAAGCGCACGUAGGCGGCUUUUAAGUCAGGGGUGAAAUCCUGGAGCUCAACUCCAGAACUGCCUUGAUACUGGGAGGCUCGAGUCCGGAAGAGGUGAGUGGAACUGCGAGUGUAGAGGUGAAAUUCGUAGAUAUUCGCAAGAACACCAGUGGCGAAGGCGGCUCACUGGUCCGUACUGACGCUGAGGUGCGAAAGCGUGGGAGCAACAGG